rnacentral:misc_RNA from 1 species
GCUUGAAGCAGGUGGACUGGUUGUUACAAAAGCACUGUAUGGCAGUCAUAAAGCUCUGAAGAACAGAAAUCAAAUAGAGGAAGUGAAAGAUGAAGUGGCUUCUCAAAUCAUUGAUGUCACUCUACCUUUAAAUUUUCUUGUGAGCGACUCAGGGCAACUAAAGCUGCACGAGGGUGUAAAGAAAUCAGGAAUUAUGGGAUUUUGUGAUCCUUGUCCUGGAGAACCCAAGCAAUUGUAUGUGGAGUACACCUUUGAUGGUAACAACUUUGAGGUCAUUGUCGACGAUUUGGAUGAGUUGCUUAUACCCCAAGAAUCACACAGAAUUUGAUGACAAGUGAGCUGCUGAGUCUCCGUUUUUCACUUCACUGAAUAUAGAUUUAAGACUGCUGAUUCCUCCAGAUGAGUAAUUUAAGGCAACCAAUUGAGAAGACUUGUUACCUCUUCAAAUUUUGCAUCAAUCUAUGCCUCUGAAGUACUUUUUGCUCAAUGUUACUACCCGUCGCUUCCCUUCUUGUCCUCUUUACCCUCCAAACCAACAGGAAUAAGAGCGUGGAAAACUAGCAGAAACAGAGUUUUCGCACCAACCCUAGCCUUAGAAAUGUU